AAGACUGUAUUUUCAGGAAUCAUGCCUAUAGAUCAUUUCUAGAGAAGUUUCUCUGAACAUUUAGGGCACAGGAAACCAGGAGGAGGAGGCGCAGCGUUGUCUCCUGAGUGUGGAGCCAGCGCUGCUUCACUGCAACUAGCCGUUCAUUUGCUAUUGGUGAUUAUUCCUCUCUUCCUUUGGGAGAGGAAUAGGGAGAGGAGACAGGUGAGUGGU
rnacentral:snoRNA from 13 species